GACGAACGCUGGCGGCGUGCUUAACACAUGCAAGUCGAACGGUAAGGCCCUUCGGGGUACAUGAGUGGCGAACGGGUGAGUAACGCGUGAGUAACCUGCCCUUCACUCUGGGAUAACAGUUGGAAACGGCUGCUAAUACCGGAUAUUCAGCUCCUGUCGCAUGGUGGGGGUUGGAAAGUUUUGGUGGUGGAGGAUGGGCUCGCGUCCUAUCAGCUUGUUGGUGGGGUGAUGGCCUACCAAGGCGUCGACGGGUAGCCGGCCUGAGAGGGCGACCGGCCACAUUGGGACUGAGAUACGGCCCAAACUCCUACGGGAGGCAGCAGUGGGGAAUAUUGCACAAUGGGCGGAAGCCUGAUGCAGCAACGCCGCGUGCGGGAUGACGGCCUUCGGGUUGUAAACCGCUUUCAGCAGGGACGAAGCGCAAGUGACGGUACCUGCAGAAGAAGCACCGGCUAACUACGUG
rnacentral:rRNA from 1 species